AGUGAACGCUGGCGGUAGGCCUAACACAUGCAAGUCGAACGGCAGCACAGUAAGAGCUUGCUCUUACGGGUGGCGAGUGGCGGACGGGUGAGGAAUACAUCGGAAUCUACUUUUUCGUGGGGGAUAACGUAGGGAAACUUACGCUAAUACCGCAUACGACCUACGGGUGAAAGCAGGGGAUCUUCGGACCUUGCGCGAUUGAAUGAGCCGAUGUCGGAUUAGCUAGUUGGCGGGGUAAAGGCCCACCAAGGCGACGAUCCGUAGCUGGUCUGAGAGGAUGAUCCGCCACACUGGGACUGAGAAACGGUCCCGACCCCUAAGGGAGGCAGCAGUUGGGAAUAUUGGAAAAAGGGCGGAAGCCCGGACCAGCCAUACCGCGUGGGUGAAGAAGGCCUUCGGGUUGUAAAGCCCUUUUGUUGGGAAAGAAAAGCAGCAGGUUAAUACCCCGCUGUUCUGACGGUACCCAAAGAAUAAGCACCGGCUAACUUCGUG
rnacentral:rRNA from 1 species